rfam:Gossypium hirsutum cultivar TM-1 chromosome 5, whole genome shotgun sequence
UGUUAAAAAUUUCAUUAAUUUUUACUGUUAAAAAUUGGCGUGGUUGAUAAAAUAACAGAUAGUUACACAUGAUAUGCCACUUGUAUUUCAUACUAAAUUACAUGGACCAGUUAACAGUAAAAAUGGAUAAAUUUUUUAAUA